UACGAAGGGUGCAAACGUUGCUCGGAAUUAUUGGGCGUAAAGCGCACGUAGGCGGCUUAGCAAGUCGGAAGUGAAAUCCCUCGGCUCAACCAAGGAAGUGCUUUCGAAACUGCUGAGCUUGAGUACUUAAGAGGAUCGCGGAAUUCCCGGUGUAGAGGUGAAAUUCGUAGAUAUCGGGAGGAACACCAGUGGCGAAGGCGGCGAUCUGGGAAGAUACUGACGCUGAGGUGCGAAAGCGUGGGGAGCAAACGGG
rnacentral:rRNA from 1 species